GGCAUCGCUCGGCGGGCGGGGGGGGGGUACGGAGGGAGGGACCGGGGACCGGUACCCGGUGCAGAAUGACCGGUGCUCCGUAUCCGGUAGAGGUUGCCCGGUGCCCCGGGUUCGGUGCAGGUUGCCCGGUAUUCGGUCCAGGUUGCCCCCGGUGCCCAGUACCGGUUGCCCCGGUGCCCUGUGCCGGUUGCCCCGGUGCCCGGUACUCGGUGCGGGUUGCCCCGCUGCCCAGUGCCGGUUGCCCCGGUGCCCUGAGCCGGUUGCCCUGCAUCCGGUGCAGGUUGCCCGGUCCCCAGUGCCCCAUGCCCUGUAUCCUGUGCAGGUUGCCCCGGUGCCCAGUGCCAGUUGCCCCGGUGGCCGGUGCCAGUUGCCCCAGUGCCCUGUGACAAUUGCCCCGGUCCCCCGUGGCCAGUGCAGGUUGCCCGCUGCCCAGUGCCGGUUGCCCCGGUGCCCUGUGCAGGUUGCCCCGUAUCCGGUCCCCUGUGCCCAGUCCCCUGUGCCCGCUGCCCAGUGCCGGUUGCCCCGGUGCCCUGUGCAGGUUGCCCCGUAUCCGGUCCCCUGUGCCCAGUCCCCUGUGCCCGCUGCCCAGUGCCGGUUGCCCCGGUGCCCUGUGCAGGUUGCCCCGUAUCCGGUCCCCUGUGCCCAGUCCCCUGUGCCCGCUGCCCAGUGCCGGUUGCCCCGGUGCCCUGUGCAGGUUGCCCCGUAUCCGGUCCCCUGUGCCCAGUCCCCUGUGCCCGCUGCCCAGUGCCGGUUGCCCCGGUGCCCUGUGCAGGUUGCCCCGUAUCCGGUCCCCUGUGCCCAGUCCCCUGUGCCCGCUGCCCAGUGCCGGUUGCCCCGGUGCCCUGUGCAGGUUGCCCCGUAUCCGGUCCCCUGUGCCCAGUCCCCUGUGCCCGCUGCCCAGUGCCGGUUGCCCCGGUGCCCUGUGCAGGUUGCCCCGUAUCCGGUCCCCUGUGCCCAGUCCCCUGUGCCCGCUGCCCAGUGCCGGUUGCCCCGGUAGCCGGUGCCGGUUGCCCCGGUGCCCAGUGCCCCAUGCCCGGUGCCCUGUGCAGGUUGCCCCGCUACCCAGUGCCGGUUGCCCCGGUGCUCUGUGCAGGUUGCCCCGGUCCCCUGUGUUGGUUGCCCCGUAUCCGGUCCCCUGUGCCCGCUGCCCAGUGCCGGUUGCCCCGGUGCUCUGUGCAGGUUGCCCCGGUCCCCUGUGUUGGUUGCCCCGUAUCCGGUCCCCUGUGCCCGCUGCCCAGUGCCGGUUGCCCCGGUGCCCAGUGCCGGUUGCCCCGGUGGCCGGUGCCGGUUGCCCCGGUGGCCGGUCCCCUGUGCCAGGUCCCCUGUGCCCGCUGCCCAGUGCCGGUUGCCCCGGUCCCCUGUGCCAGUUGCCCUGUGCCCAGUGCCGGUUGCCCCGGUGCCCUGUGCCCAGUGCCGGUUGCCCUGGUAGCCGGUGCAGGUUGCCCAGCUGCCCAGUGCGGGUUGCCCAGUGCCCUGUGCCGGUUGCCCCGGUGCCCAGUGCCGGUUGCCCCGGUCCCCUGUGUUGGUUGCCCCGUGCCCGGUCCCCUGUGCCCGGUCCCUUGUGCCCGGUGCAGGUUGCCCCGCUGCCCAGUGCCGGUUGCCCCGGUGCCCAGUGCCCAGUGCUGAUUGCCCCGGCACCCAGUACAGGUUGCCCGGUGCCCAGUGCAGGUUGCCCAGUGCCCUGUGCCGGUUGCCCCGGUACCCAGUGCCGGUUGCCCCGGUGCCUUGUACCGGUUGCCCCGGUGCCCAGUGCAUGUUGCCCCGCUGCCCUGUGCUCGGUGCCGGUUGCCCCGGUGCCUUGUACCCGUUGCCCGGUGCCUUGUACCGGUUGCCCUUGCCCCCUGUACCCCAUAUACCGGGUGCACGUUCCCCGUUUCCCCCCCCCUGUUGCUCCCCGUUGCCCGGUUCGGGCGGGCUCGCGAGCGACCGAAGCGGCCCCGCUUCCUGCUUUCUAAUGUUCCAUUGUGCGGAGCUUCCAUUGUGACGUCUGGGCCUCGGCUCGGCUUUGUCUGUCCAUAUAUGGGCAGCUACGUCACGGGAGCGCUCCCGCCGCCCGGAUAAAUGGGCUGCGGAGUCCCCGGCGGAGCAGUCGGGCGGCAGCGAAGGGAACCUGCGAGCGGAGCCGAGAGCGCGGGGAGGGAAAC
rnacentral:lncRNA from 1 species